ACAGCUCUGGACUAAGAGACUCGGCAGGAAUCUCCGGCGCUUUGCAGCUCGCUGAAGCUUGGGACAAAGACACCAGCUCCCUGGCUGCAGCCUGUCAGGUUCGGAAGCUACAGGUUGUCUCAACCACGCGCACGGAGAAGAGAGGCGAGGCGGAAAAUGAUAGAAAGGAUGGCCCAACAGUUAGAGCCUUUGCCUGGAACCCAGGAGACCUGUGUUCAAGUCUCUGCUCUACCACAGAUUCCUCAGUGUCAGGACUUCCUCCAAGCUGGACACAGGAAGCCAAGCUCUACUGAUGAGCUCAGAGAAGCAGUGGCACUCAGUUUUUAUAGCUCUUCUGACCGCACCCCAGC